AUUGAACGCUGGCGGCAUGCUUUACACAUGCAAGUCGAACGGUAACAGGCCUUCGGGUGCUGACGAGUGGCAAACGGGUGAGUAAUGCAUCGGAACGUGCCCAGAGGUGGGGGAUAACGCAGCGAAAGCUGUGCUAAUACCGCAUGUGAUCUGAGGAUGAAAGCGGGGGACCAGGCAGCAAUGUUUGGCCUCGCGCCUUUGGAGCGGCCGAUGUCAGAUUAGGUAGUUGGUGGGGUAAAGGCCUACCAAGCCGACGAUCUGUAGCUGGUCUGAGAGGACGACCAGCCACACUGGGACUGAGACACGGCCCAGACUCCUACGGGAGGCAGCAGUGGGGAAUUUUGGACAAUGGGCGCAAGCCUGAUCCAGCAAUGCCGCGUGCGGGAAGAAGGCCUUCGGGUUGUAAACCGCUUUUGUACGGAACGAAAAGGCUCUGGCUAAUACCUGGGGCUGAUGACGGUACCGUAAGAAUAAGCACCGGCUAACUACGUG
rnacentral:rRNA from 1 species